CCCACUGGGCUCACCUACAUUUCAGGGGUAUCCUGGGACUGAGGCAGAGGCUUUCACCUGGGGCAAUAUUAACACUCAGCAAAAUUAGGAAGGAGGAUGAAGGAAUCAGCAUGGUGGAGUGGAAAUAUGGUGCACAUUUAGUCAAAAAGAUUUGGAUCUGAAUUCAUAGCCGUGUGGCCUGGGGCAAGUUGUGAAGAGGGGAUGGUGCCAUCUGCUUUACAGGAGAGAAAUCUAGAAGUGGAAUUGCUGAGCUGUAGAGUAUGUGAAUCUCUACAACUUUCAACUUUACCAUGUAUUGUCAAAUUGCUCUCCAAAGUGAUGGUACCAAUUAAUGAUACUACCAAUAAGGAUCUCAACAGGACAAACACAAAGAAAAUAUCAAGGUGCAUCAUAGACAAAUUAUUGAAAAUCAGCAAUAAGGAGAAAACCUUAAAAACAGCAAGAUAAAAAGAUGCAUUAUGUGUAAAAUUAAAAAAGAAAACAAUGAUUGCUGAAUUCUUAUCAUACCAAUGCACAAAAGACAACAGAACAAUAUCUUUAAUGUGUGAAAAGUAAAAAAAAAAAUGUCAAACUAAGUUUUACAUUCAGGAAAAAUAUUCUUUGAAAAUAGAAGACAAUGAGAUUUCUGAUUUGUGGUUAUCACUCCCAUUCUCAUAAUAAGAAAAAAUCUGAAAAAACUGGAAAUCCACAACUCUUCUUAAAAUUGAGGUAACAGGGCAAGCCACUACCUUGAAUAUUAGAGACAGGAAGAUACAAAGAAUUCAGCUUAAAGAAAGAAGGAAGCCUUGGAGGAGAAGCCUGGUGCUGGAGCCUGUACCACUUUCCACAACAUCAACUGUGCUACUGUAUAAUAACAGGGCAUUAUAGCCAAAGAACUGUAAGCCUCAGACCCUAUUUAAGGAAGAGUCUCCAGGGAAAUCUAAAAAUAACAGGGAAGACUAAAACAAGGACACCCAGAGAAAAUGCUAGCCUUUGAUAUGUACAGCUAUAGCAACUGGCAAACACAAUGUAACUCCUAGCCAGAUCAACAUUGAACCUCACACAAAAGGUCUAUUUACUUCAUUUCCUUCUAAUUGAUACAUCCUCUCAGGCUGUCAGCAAAAAACUAGAAGACGUGAAAAUGCAAAAACUCUGUCUGAAGAGAGAAAGCAUGCCUUAGACUCAGACUGGCAGAAAUUUUGAGUGAUCAAACCAGAUAUUUAAAAUAACUAUGAUUAAAAUGCUAGCAGAAUGGAAAAAGUAAACAACAUGCACAAAUGGAAGGCAAAACAAAGACAUUUUCAAAUAAGCAAAAGGUGAUAGAAUGUGUCAUCCACAGACCUGCACUAUAAAAAAUGGUAGAGGAAGUUCUUCAGUAUGAAAGUGAAUGAUACCAGAUGGAAACUGAGAUCUACAAAAUGAAACAUCACUGGAAAUAGUAAAUACAUGGAGAAAGGCUCAGUCUAGCAGCAGAGCAAACUGGACAUUUUCUCACCAUUUGUUUCACCAGAGAAAGGAAGGGACAGCAACUUGGAGUCUGGAGCUGACGCAGAGGAUGUUUCUUGAUAUCUUCAACUUGAACCUGUCUCACUUGACAGAUUUAUGCUGCCAGAGUGGUUCUUCUAGUAAGAAGCCCCUUGCCAUCAGACACUGCAUUUCACUUGGUGAUUUUCCAGACUCCUCAAAUCUUUUAUGGAAAGAGAGUUUCACCUGCCACCUGGAUCAUUUCCUAUUUUUCUGCAGCCACUUCAGGGCGGGGACCCAGUAUCACGAAGCUGCAAGCUUUGCUGCCAGUUUUCCAUCCAUCCCCCGGGGCUGAGAUGAGGUGAGAGGUAAUCCAGGAUAGGAGUCCCUCUGAAGCAAACAGAACAUCCAUCAAAGACCCGAAAGAACAUAAGGCCGCAAAUCCUAUCUAUGAAGAUAGGCACUUCCAUUCAUUCUGAAGUCCUCACAUAGUAGUUAUUCAGUGAAUGUACCCUGGGAUCCACUUUUCACCUUUCCCCUUACCUGCUUUGUGCUUCAAGAAACUGACUUCAACAGACAGCAUCAUCUGGGCUUCUUUACCCUGUAGUGUUCAGCUGAGUUCAGCCAAUGGAAGACACUAGUAGAAGACUGGAAGGAUAGAGGAGAGAAAGAUUGGAAUAUUUAUUCCCAUCUCAUACUACAGUUUUUGUAGUGAUGGUUCUUCCUAUUGGACAGCUUCCACCUAUAACUACAGUUCUCUCCUGGUUCCAGAAACUGCUUUCUCCACUUCUGACCUAGGAGUAGCCACAGCUCCCAGCUGUUGUUAGACCCCAGGUGUAUUUUGUCAUCUCUUGUUACUUCCCUUAACCCUGCCACAGCUCUGAAAAUAGUCCAGUAAUUAAAUACUUUUUGAGCUAUU
rnacentral:lncRNA from 1 species